UACAGAGGGGGCAAGCGUUAUUCGGAAUUAUUGGGCGUAAAGGGCGCGUAGGCGGCCUGGCAAGUGGAAGGUGAAAUCCCUCGGCUUAACCGAGGAACUGCCUCCCAAACUGCUUGGCUUGAGACCGGGAGAGGUGAGUGGAAUUCCCAGUGUAGCGGUGAAAUGCGUAGAUAUCUGGAGGAACACCGGUGGCGAAGGCGACAUCCUGGACCGGUAUUGACGCUGAGGCGCGAAAGCCAGGGGAGCAAAGCGGG
rnacentral:rRNA from 1 species